GGCUCAGAUUGAACGCUGGCGGCAGGCCUAACACAUGCAAGUCGAACGGUAACAGGAAGCAGCUUGCUGCUUUGCUGACGAGUGGCGGACGGGUGAGUAAUGUCUGGGAAACUGCCUGAUGGAGGGGGAUAACUACUGGAAACGGUGGCUAAUACCGCAUAACGUCGCAAGACCAAAGAGGGGGACCUUCGGGCCUCUUGCCAUCAGAUGUGCCCAGAUGGGAUUAGCUUGUUGGUGAGGUAACGGCUCACCAAGGCGACGAUCCCUAGCUGGUCUGAGAGGAUGACCAGCCACACUGGAACUGAGACACGGUCCAGACUCCUACGGGAGCCAGCAGUGGGGAAUAUUGCACAAUGGGCGCAAGCCUGAUGCAGCCAUGCCGCGUGUAUGAAGAAGGCCUUCGGGUUGUAAAGUACUUUCAGCGGGGAGGAAGGUGUUGCGGUUAAUAACCGCAGCAAUUGACGUUACCCGCAGAAGAAGCACCGGCUAACUCCGUGCCAGCAGCCGCGGUAAUACGGAGGGUGCAAGCGUUAAUCGGAAUUACUGGGCGUAAAGCGCACGCAGGCGGUCUGUCAAGUCGGAUGUGAAAUCCCCGGGCUCAACCUGGGAACUGCAUUCGAAACUGGCAGGCUUGAGUCUUGUAGAGGGGGGUAGAAUUCCAGGUGUAGCGGUGAAAUGCGUAGAGAUCUGGAGGAAUACCGGUGGCGAAGGCGGCCCCCUGGACAAAGACUGACGCUCAGGUGCGAAAGCGUGGGGAGCAAACAGGAUUAGAUACCCUGGUAGUCCACGCCGUAAACGAUGUCUACUUGGAGGUUGUGCCCUUGAGGCGUGGCUUCCGGAGCUAACGCGUUAAGUAGACCGCCUGGGGAGUACGGCCGCAAGGUUAAAACUCAAAUGAAUUGACGGGGGCCCGCACAAGCGGUGGAGCAUGUGGUUUAAUUCGAUGCAACGCGAAGAACCUUACCUGGUCUUGACAUCCACAGAAGAAUCCAGAGAUGGAUUUGUGCCUUCGGGAACUGUGAGACAGGUGCUGCAUGGCUGUCGUCAGCUCGUGUUGUGAAAUGUUGGGUUAAGUCCCGCAACGAGCGCAACCCUUAUCCUUUGUUGCCAGCGAUUAGGUCGGGAACUCAAAGGAGACUGCCAGUGAUAAACUGGAGGAAGGUGGGGAUGACGUCAAGUCAUCAUGGCCCUUACGACCAGGGCUACACACGUGCUACAAUGGCGCAUACAAAGAGAAGCGACCUCGCGAGAGCAAGCGGACCUCAUAAAGUGCGUCGUAGUCCGGAUUGGAGUCUGCAACUCGACUCCAUGAAGUCGGAAUCGCUAGUAAUCGUGGAUCAGAAUGCCACGGUGAAUACGUUCCCGGGCCUUGUACACACCGCCCGUCACACCAUGGGAGUGGGUUGCAAAAGAAGUAGGUAGCUUAACCUUCGGGAGGGCGCUUACCACUUUGUGAUUCAUGACUGGGGAGAAGUCGUAACAAGGU
rnacentral:rRNA from 1 species